rnacentral:rRNA from 1 species
UGGGGAAUAUUGCGCAAUGGGGGCAACCCUGACGCAGCAAUACCGCGUGAGUGAAGAAGGUUUUCGGAUCGUAAAGCUCUGUUAUUGGGGAAGAAGAAUGACGGUACCCAAUGAGGAAGUCCCGGCUAACUACGUGCCAGCAGCCGCGGUAAUACGUAGGGGACAAGCGUUGUCCGGAAUGACUGGGCGUAAAGGGCGCGUAGGCGGUCUAUUAAGUCUGAUGUGAAAGGUACCGGCUCAACCGGUGAAGUGCAUUGGAAACUGGUAGACUUGAGUAUUGGAGAGGCAAGUGGAAUUCCUAGUGUAGCGGUGAAAUGCGUAGAUAUUAGGAGGAACACCAGUGGCGAAGGCGGCUUGCUGGACAAAUACUGACGCUGAGGUGCGAAAGCGUGGGGAGCGAACAGG